rnacentral:rRNA from 1 species
UACGUAGGGUGCAAGCGUUAAUCGGAAUUACUGGGCGUAAAGCGUGCGCAGGCGGCUUUGCAAGACAGAUGUGAAAUCCCCGGGCUUAACCUGGGAACUGCAUUUGUGACUGCAUGGCUGGAGUGCGGCAGAGGGGGAUGGAAUUCCGCGUGUAGCAGUGAAAUGCGUAGAUAUGCGGAGGAACACCGAUGGCGAAGGCAGCCCCCUGGGCUAACACUGACGCUCAUGCACGAAAGCGUGGGGAGCAAACAGG